UACGUAGGGUGCAAGCGUUGUCCGGAAUUAUUGGGCGUAAAGAGCUCGUAGGCGGUCUGUCGCGUCGGCUGUGAAAACUCGGGGCUCAACUCCGAGCUUGCAGUCGAUACGGGCAGGCUAGAGUUCGGCAGGGGAGACUGGAAUUCCUGGUGUAGCGGUGAAAUGCGCAGAUAUCAGGAGGAACACCAGUGGCGAAGGCGGUUCUCUGGGCAUUACCUGACGCUGAGGAGCGAAAGUGUGGGGAGCGAACAGG
rnacentral:rRNA from 1 species